AAGCGGGCAGUGGGAGCGGCCCUAUGGAGCCUGAGAGGCCUGAGCAAAGCUCUCCGUCAUGCCGAGAUGUCACCGAGGACGCCACCGUUGCUGCACUUGUGGCCGCGGAUGCCAGCGUCGGGGUUUAGAUGGAUGAAAUUCCCACGGAAGUGCCGGUGGAUGCCGAGGGAACGGGCUACGAUGCUGAUGUCGAGGUACGUGAGGUAGACGAUCC
rnacentral:lncRNA from 1 species